AGCGAACGCUAGCGGCAGGCCUAAUACAUGCAAGCCGAACGGGAUCAGGGAGCUUGCUCCCUGUGAGAGUGGCGCACGGGUGCGUAACACGUAUGCAACCUACCUUCAACUGGGGGAUAGCCUUCCGAAAGGAAGAUUAAUACCGCAUAACAUAAUUGAAUGGCAUCAUUUGAUUAUCAAACGUCAGGGUUGAGGAUGGGCAUGCGUCCGAUUAGCUAGUUGGUGUGGUAACGGCACACCAAGGCGACGAUCGGUAGGGGAUCUGAGAGGAUGACCCCCCACACUGGUACUGAGGCACGGACCAGACUCCUACGGGAGGCAGCAGUAAGGAAUAUUGGUCAAUGGACGCAAGUCUGAACCAGCCAUGCCGCGUGCAGGAAGACGGUCCUCUGGAUUGUAAACUGCUUUUGUUAGGGAAGAAACCCUCGGAUGCGUCCGGGGCUGACGGUACCUAAAGAAUAAGGAUCGGCUAACUCCGUGCCAGCCGCCGCCGUAAAAC
rnacentral:rRNA from 1 species